rnacentral:misc_RNA from 1 species
UACGAAGGGGGCAAGCGUUAUUCGGAUUUAUUGGGCGUAAAGGGCGUGUAGGCGGCUGGGCAAGUCCGGUGUGAAAACGCUACCGCUCAACGGAGCGAUUGCGCUGGAAACUGCUCAACUUGAGUUCGAGAGAGGCGGGUGGAAUACCUGGUGUAGCGGUGGAAUGCUUAGAUAUCAGGUGGAACACCGGAGGCGAAGGCGACCCGCUGGCUCGAUACUGACGCUGAGGCGCGAAAGCGUGGGGAGCAAACAGG